AUUGAACGCUGGCGGCGGGCCUAACACAUGCAAGUCGAGCGGAUGAGAGGAGCUUGCUCUUCGAUUCAGCGGCGGACGGGUGAGUAAUGCCUAGGAAUCUGCCCAGUAGUGGGGGACAACGUUUCGAAAGGAACGCUAAUACCGCAUACGUCCUACGGGAGAAAGUGGGGGAUCUUCGGACCUCACGCUAUUGGAUGAGCCUAGGUCGGAUUAGCUAGUUGGUAGGGUAAAGGCCUACCAAGGCGACGAUCCGUAACUGGUCUGAGAGGAUGAUCAGACACACUGGAACUGAGACACGGUCCAGACUCCUACGGGAGGCAGCAGUGGGGAAUAUUGGACAAUGGGCGCAAGCCUGAUCCAGCCAUGCCGCGUGUGUGAAGAAGGCACUCGGGUCGUAAAGCACUUUAAGUUGGGAGGAAGGGCUUACAGCGAAUACCUGUGAGUUUCGACGUUACCGACAGAAUAAGCACCGGCUAACUUCGUGCCAGCCGCCGCCGUAA
rnacentral:rRNA from 1 species